ACUCCGCGUGCAGGCCCGCCUCCUUCCACAUCAACCAGUCUAAGGUUGCUCCCACCAGACUAGGAGGACUGGAGAGUAGGGUUGGGGUCAAAGGGUAGCCUCCUGCAGGUCGCCUCCUCCUGUGGCUUUCCCGGACGUCGCGCUGGGACUUCCUGCCGACACCGCACUUCUUCCCAGACUCCCACCUGCGCCGCUGGGGGCUUGGGUCCAGUCUUGCUCUGCCACCCAACCCUGGAGUGCAAUGGCGCAAUCUUGGCUCACUGCAACCUCUGCUUCCCAAGUUGAAGUGAUUCUCCUACCUCAGCCUCCCGAGUAGCUGGGAUUACAGGCAUGUGCCACCACACCUGGCUGAUCUUUCUUUUAGUAGAGAUGGGGUUUCACCAUGUUGUCCAGGCUGGUCUCGAACUCCUGACUUCGUGAUCCACCCACCUUGGCCUCCCAAAGUGCUGGGAUUACAGAUUUCCAGGGUCUUUGAAGAUGUUAGUUCACUGUUUAUUCAUGUGGGUUCCUGUAAAUGUCUGCAGCCAAUCUGGAAGUGGAGCUGUAUUUGGAACUUUUUGAAUCUAAAUCAGUUUGGGAGAAGUGAGUCUUUUCAGAAUUUGACCUUUCAAUGAAUGUCUCAAAUUUGUUUACGUCAUCUUUAAUGUUUUCAAUACUGUCUUCAAAACAAUUUGGUAAGUUUAAAAUUUAUUCUUCCACAAUUUUGGUAAGUUUAAAAUUUAUUCUUCCAUAUGUUAUACCAUUGUUGCUCUUAUAAAUGGUAUUGACUUUUAAAUUUUAUUAUUUCUAUUCCUGAGUAUAAGUUGCAAGUUUAUCUUUAUUAAGAUAGUAAACAUUUUCAUUAAUUUAAAUAUAGAUCCUUUGAAAUUUUCCAUUUAGGUAAUCAUAUUAUAAAUAAUGACAGAUUUACUUCUACCUUUCUGGUCCUUAGGUUUUUAAAUAUCUUUUCCUAGCCUGCCUCACUUAAGAUUCCAGUAAAAUACUAAGUAGUGGAUACCAUUGUCAUCUUCCUGAUUUUAAACUCAUUUUCUAUUUUCCACCAUUCAUUUAUUGUUUACUUUUGCAUUUUUUUAUACAAUGUUUAUCAUAUUUUCAAAGAUUUUUCUCAGUAAUACCUCUUUAUGGCUUUUUCUUUAUCUACUGAGAUUAUCCUAUUUUUUCAAUAAUGCAUUAAAUGCUUUGAACACUGCCUCA